rnacentral:rRNA from 1 species
GUGGGGAAUAUUGGACAAUGGGCGCAAGCCUGAUCCAGCCAUGCCGCGUGAGUGAUGAAGGCCCUAGGGUUGUAAAGCUCUUUCACCGGAGAAGAUAAUGACGGUAUCCGGAGAAGAAGCCCCGGCUAACUUCGUGCCAGCAGCCGCGGUAAUACGAAGGGGGCUAGCGUUGUUCGGAAUUACUGGGCGUAAAGCGCACGUAGGCGGACAUUUAAGUCAGGGGUGAAAUCCCGGGGCUCAACCCCGGAACUGCCUUUGAUACUGGGUGGCUGGAGUAUGGAAGAGGUAAGUGGAAUUCCGAGUGUAGAGGUGAAAUUCGUAGAUAUUCGGAGGAACACCAGUGGCGAAGGCGGCUUACUGGUCCAUUACUGACGCUGAGGUGCGAAAGCGUGGGGAGCAAACAGGAUUAGAUACCCUAGUAGUCC